UGGAUUAAAUUGAAAAUAAUUGAAGUUUCAGGGGCAAAUCUGAAAUAAACAAAACACCAAUGGAUCAAAUGGAACAUGCAGUUAACAGUGGAGGACCGAAAGUGAAAUUAAUCCCUCUGUCCAAAACUCCACGCAGCAAUGGAUUAAAAUAAAACAAAUUCAACAUUUCAUGGCAAAAUUUGAAAACAAACCACAAUGAUUUUGAAAUGAUGGGAUAAAAUGAAGGAUUAAAAACGCAAAUAACCUAUCAGUGUUUAAAACCCUUUUCAUCUCCAAUUAAAAGCCUACUCUGCAGCAGCAAUAGGCGCAAAAUUGCUUCAUCUUCCUUUUUCUUUUUUAAAACAACAGAGGGAAGAAAGAGGGAUCUGCUAGGCCUUCUUUAAAGCCCUAACUAUCGCCAUCCCACCGCCGUUCAAGCUUCGCCACCUACUCCGAUUCAGAUGUGUGAGCGUUGUGCGAGUGGACGUGCCAGCGAAGAUGUGGGACAGUUUGGGAGGCUGCCGAACGUGGGGCGUGCACGGCACUGGAGGUUGCUGCGACGUGGGGUGGCUACUGCUAACUGCUGCUUAGGGUUAGGCUAGGGUUAGCACACUUGGGCCUUAUUGGGCCAAAUGCAAUUGGGUCAGGAUUGGCCCAAGUUUUAUUGGAUUUGAUUGGUUAAUUUGGGCCCCGGGUUAAAAUUGACUAUUACAAUUAUAUAAGACUUUUUUUAUAUUUUUAAUUAGUAUAAUAUAUAUAAAUGACAUGUGACAUGUUCUAAUAACAA